rnacentral:rRNA from 1 species
GACGAAUGCUGGCGGCGUGCCUAAUACAUGCAAGUUGAGCGCUGAAGGUUGGUACUUGUACCGACUGGAUGAGCAGCGAACGGGUGAGUAACGCGUGGGGAAUCUGCCUUUGAGCGGGGGACAACAUUUGGAAACGAAUGCUAAUACCGCAUAAAAACUUUAAACACAAGUUUUAAGUUUGAAAGAUGCAAUUGCAUCACUCAAAGAUGAUCCCGCGUUGUAUUAGCUAGUUGGUGAGGUAAAGGCUCACCAAGGCGAUGAUACAUAGCCGACCUGAGAGGGUGAUCGGCCACAUUGGGACGGAGACACGGCCCAAACUCCUACGGGAGGCAGCAGUAGGGAAUCUUCGGGAAUGGACGAAAGUCUGACCGAGCAACGCCGCGUGAGGGAAGAAGGUUGUCGGAUCGUAAAACUCUGUUGGUAGAGAAGAACGUUGGUGAGAGUGGAAAGCUCAUCAAGUGACGGUAACUACCCAGAAAGGGACGGCUAACUACGUG